rnacentral:tRNA from 1 species
UCCCUAGAAGCUCAGAUGGUAAAGCAUCUGCCUGCAAUGCAGGAGACCCAGGUUCAAUCCCUGGUCAGGAAG